rnacentral:lncRNA from 1 species
UCAGUAUUACUAGUUCUUUUUAAUGUUUACCAAUUCUCGCAUGCUAAUAUGGAACUUUGUGAUGAUUAAGUCCAUAUUUCAAAUAUUUUUGUAGACCAUCUGGAUAAUGCUUGUUAUUUGCUCAAAGUUUAAGUACAGCAUUAUAAGUGAUCCUGAUUCCAGAUUCUCCUAGAAUCAUGCUGAUUGAUUACUCAAAAUGACAACUCCCAAGGCAUUGUAUAGUUACCAGUUGAAUAUUAGAAGACCAAACAAACUUCCCUGUUGUAACACUUAAGGGAACCUUUUGGAUGAGAUUUAGCUGAAGAAGAUGAGCGUUGGUGCCAUAAUAAGGCUGCGUCUUGACCACCUGGUUGACCAGGUUUUUACACUUGGAAACAGCCCCUCUACUUGGAGAGGUGAGGCUGCAUAUGCUGAGCUCUCUAGAUCUGGCAUUGCAGGAGUCCUCUGCAUUGCUUGCUCAUUUAUUUUUUAAGAGAACAUCUCAAACUAGUAAAUGAUUGCAAUUGAAUAAUGCAUUUGAAAUUUGGUGCUGGACAUAUUAAACAUUGGUCUUGUGGUGGUGUAUUGGACCCACUUACUAAAUGUUGAGGGUUCAAAUUCUCACCCAAUUCAUUUUCCCCACUUAUCAAAGGUUGAGGGUUUGAAUCUUCAUCUGAUAUUUUUUUUGAAGGUGUCAGGCUAUCAGCUAGCUUAGUUGGUAUAGAUCCUGACAGUAUAUCGUAAGGUUCUGAGCUCAAAUCUCGCCUUAAGCACUUACCCUUUGCAACAAAUCAAUAUUACUAGUUCUUUUUAAUGUUUAACAAUUCUCGCAUACUAAUAUGGAACUUUGUGAUAAUUAAGUCCAUAUUUCAAAUAUUUUUGUAGACCAUCUGGAUAAUGCUUGUUAUUUGCUCAAAGUUUAAGUACAGCAUUAUAAGUGAUCCUGAUUCCAUAUUCUCCUAGAAUCAUGCUGAUUGAUUACUCAAAAAGACAACUCCUAAUGCAUUGUAUGGUUACCAGUUGAUUAUUAGAAGACCAAACAAACUUCCCUGUUGUAACACUUAAGGGAACCAUUUGGAUGAGAUUUAGCUGAAGAAGAUGAGCGUUGGUGCCAUAAUAAGGCUGUCUUUACCACCUGGUUGACCAGGUUUUUACCCUUGGA